AGCGAACGCUGGCGGCGUGCCUAACACAUGCAAGUCGAACGUGAAAGGGAGCAAUCCCAAGUAAAGUGGCGUACGGGUGAGUAACACGUAGGUAAUCUACCCCAGACUCUGGAAUAACCGGCCGAAAGGCUGGCUAAUACUGGAUAGAGCGACGGACUCCGUAAUUGGGUUUUUCGGGAAAGGGAGCCUGUAAAAAGGCCUUCGUUCUGGGAUGAGCCUGCGUCCCAUCAACUAGUUGGUGAGGUAAAAGCUUACCAAGGCAAUGACGGGUAGCUGGUCUGAGAGGACGAUCAGCCCAACUUGGACUGAAACACGGUCCAGACGCCUACGGGAGGCAGCAGUGGGGAGUCUUGCGCAAUGGACGAAAGUCUGACGCAGCAACGCCGCGUGAGUGAAGGAGGCCUUCGGGUUGUAAAGCUCUGUCGAGUGGGACGAAAAUGCUUGGAGUUAACAGCUCCAGGAACUGACGGUACCAAUAAAGGAAGCACCGGCUAACUCCGUG
rnacentral:rRNA from 1 species